rnacentral:rRNA from 1 species
CCUACGGGCGGCAGCAGUGGGGAAUAUUGGACAAUGGGCGAAAGCCUGAUCCAGCCAUGCCGCGUGUGUGAAGAAGGCCUUCGGGUUGUAAAGCACUUUCAGUGGGGAAGAAAGCCUUGGGGCUAAUACCCUCGAGGAAGGACAUCACCCACAGAAGAAGCACCGGCUAACUCCGUGCCAGCAGCCGCGGUAAUACGGAGGGUGCGAGCGUUAAUCGGAAUUACUGGGCGUAAAGCGCGCGUAGGCGGUCUGAUAAGCCGGUUGUGAAAGCCCCGGGCUCAACCUGGGAACGGCAUCCGGAACUGUCAGGCUAGAGUGCAGGAGAGGAAGGUAGAAUUCCCGGUGUAGCGGUAAAAGGCGUAGAGAUCGGGAGGAAUACCAGUGGCGAAGGCGGCCUUCUGGACUGACACUGACGCUGAGGUGCGAAAGCGUGGGUAGCAAACAGGAUUAGAUACCCGGGAGUC